rnacentral:RNase_P_RNA from 1 species
CGAGCUGGCCAGGCAGUCGCCGCUUCGAAAGAAGGGGAGGAAAGUCCGGGCUCCAUAGGGCAGGGUGCCAGAUAACGUCUGGGCGGCGAAAGCCGACGGAAAGUGCAGCAGAAAGGAAACCGCCAUUCGCUUGCGGAUGGUAAGGGUGAAAAGGUGCGGUAAGAGCGCACCGCGGCUCUGGUAACAGAGUCGGCGAUGGUAAACCCCACCUGGAGCAAGGCCAAAUAGAGUCCCAUUAAGGCGCGGCCCGCGCUGGGACCGGGUAGGCUGCUUGACCCGGACGGUGACGUCCGGGCUAGAUGAAUGACUGUCCACGACAGAACCCGGCUUAUCGGCCAGUUCGCCUU